rnacentral:rRNA from 1 species
CCUACGGGCGGCAGCAGUGGGGAAUAUUGGGCAAUGGGCGCAAGCCUGACCCAGCAACGCCGCGUGAAGGAAGAAGGCUUUCGGGUUGUAAACUUCUUUGAUAGGGGAAGAGCAGAAGACGGUACCCUGAAAACUAGCCACGGCCAACUACGUGCCAGCAGCCGCGGUAAAACGUAGGUGGCAAGCGUUUUCCGGAUUUACUGGGUGUAAAGGGCGUGUAGCCGGGAAGGCAAGUCAGAUGUGAAAUCUGGAGGCUCAACCUCCAAACUGCAUUUGAAACUGUUUUUCUUGAGUACUGGAGAGGCAGACGGAAUUCCGUGUGUAGCGGUGAAAUGCGUAGAUAUAAGGAGGAACACCAGUGGCGAAGGCGGACUGCUGGACAGCAACUGACGGUGAGGCGCGAAAGCGUGGGGAGCAAACAGGAUUAGAUACCCGAGUAGUC